rnacentral:rRNA from 1 species
GACGAACGCUGGCGGCGUGCUUAACACAUGCAAGUCGAACGGAAAGGCCUGCUUUCCCUUGUGGAUUGCGGGUACUCGAGUGGCGAACGGGUGAGUAACACGUGAGUGAUCUGCCCCCAACUUGGGUAUAAGCCUGGGAAACUGGGUCUAAUUCCCGAUAGGACUGCAGGGUGGUGCCUGUGGUGGAAAACGAUGUUCUAGUGGUUGGGGAUGAGCUCGCGGCCUAUCAGCUUGUUGGUGGGGUAAUGGCCUACCAAGGCGGCGACGGGUAGCCGGCCUGAGAGGGUGGACGGCCACAUUGGGACUGAGAUACGGCCCAGACUCCUACGGGAGGCAGCAGUGGGGAAUAUUGCACAAUGGGCGGAAGCCUGAUGCAGCGACGCCGCGUGGGGGAUGUCGGCCUUCGGGUUGUAAACUCCUUUCGACCGCGAGGAAGCCACCUGGUUGGAAGGGUGGUGACGGUAGUGGUAGAAGAAGCACCGGCUAACUACGUG